rnacentral:tRNA from 2 species
GGGGUAGUAGCUCAGUCGGUAGAGCAAUAGCCUUUUAAGCUAGUGGUCCUGGGUUCGAUUCCCAGCUACCCCA